UGCAUUGUUGCAGGUGUGGUCAUCAAAACCAAAAAGAAGCCCAAUACUUCUGUUAUACCUGCCGUGGAGGUUGAGCCUCUAGGAUGCUUAUUCAAUCUGCCAUAUGAAAGUCAUCAGGAUGCAUUAGCUUUUGCUGUUGCAGAUGAAAUGCAGAAAAUUUCGUUGAAAUGAAUUGGGACCGGAGCCUAUUCCAUUGAUUGUUUCUGGAGAAACAGUUAAUGAAGAAGAUAUGUAUUUCCUUGAAGCGGAUAGUGGCAGUGACACGAAGAAUGAAAAACUAGUGAAAGACGGAAACACAAAUUUGGAGAAAAGGUAAGCUUCUAUAUUGCUUGUCUGUCUUGAUAGUUUUUUUCUAUUGAAGCAUGUUCUAUUCUUUGCUUGCUCAGUACUCAGGAUUAUUUAAAAUUAUAAUAUUACUUGAAAAUCCAGCCAUCAUACUUUGAACUAUGCAAUUUAUUCACCUCUAUCUAUUCAUAUUCGUGGAGUCCCCUUAUAAUAGUGAAUAUGAGCUUCUUUGACAAUCUUUGAGCUUCAGGCUUCAGAGAAAUAGAUGGCAAUUUAAUGUGUUAAAUCUACAUGAUGAAUUAUACUGACAGUAAAUUUAAUUACAUGUUAAUCUCUGGACACUUGUUACACCCAAUUAGACAUAGAGAAAACUUAUGAUCACUUGAAUCGGGAAUAUUUGUGGAGCACACCAGAAGGAUAGGGUUUGGCAUCACCUGGAUUAAGGGUGUGUCUGGUAUGGAGGAAAAUGUUUUCCUGGAAAACAAGCGUUUUGGACUUAU